ACGUGAGCAGCGUGAACAGCGGUACCUAGGGCGGAAGUGCUUUCGGCGGAAGUGAUGCCUCCGCUAAGCGUGGGUAGGAUGGCACCUGUGCGGCUCUUUCUAAGUCGGUUUCGAACGCCCUUCAGUUCCAUGGCCCAGAAGCCACUCGAGGGCGUGCCCUCCUCCAGGGGCCUGCACGCGGGGUGCGAGCCCCGAAGGCUGUCCAUCGAAGGCAACAUUGCUGUGGGAAAGUCUACCUUUGUGAAGUUACUCAUGAAAACUUACCCAGAGUGGCACGUAGCUACAGAGCCUGUAGCAACAUGGCAGAAUAUCCAAGCUGCUGGCACCCAAAAAUCUCAGAAAUUGGAAGGGACCUUACAGAGCAGCCUGUCAUACUCUGAAUCAGAACAGGGCCAAACUACCCAAAGUCUGGGAAACUUGCUGGACAUGAUGUAUCAGGAGCCAGCACGAUGGUCCUACACAUUCCAGACGUGUUCCUUUAUGAGCCGCCUGAAAGUACAGCUGGAGCCCUUCCCUGAGAAACUGUUACAGUCCAAGAACCCCGUGCAGAUCUUUGAGAGGUCUGUGUACAGUGACAGGUAUAUCUUUGCAAAGAAUCUUUUUGAAAAUGGUUCCCUCAGUGACAUCGAGUGGCACAUCUAUCAGGACUGGCAUUCUUUUCUCCUGCAGGAGUUUGCCAGCCAGCUCUCCUUACAUGGCUUCAUCUACCUACAGGCUACUCCCCAGAUUUGUUUGAAGAGGUUGGAUCAGAGAGCCAGGAAGGAAGAGAAAGGAAUUGAGCUGGCCUAUCUUGAGCAGCUUCAUGGUCAGCACGAAGCCUGGCUUGUUCACAAGACAACCAAGCUCCACUUUGAUGCUCUGCUGAACAUCCCAGUGCUGAUAUUGAAUGUCAAUGAUGACUUUUCUGAAGAAGUAACCAAACAAGAAGAACUCAUCAGAAAGGUAAACACCUUUGUAAAGAAUCUGUAACCAGUACUAGGAUGUUCUAGCUGUGAUCUGGGCUCUCUGCUUUCUGAAGCUAGAAAAUGCAUCCUUGGCUCAUUUCUAACUUGGUUCCAUCAUUGUUCCUGGAUCUGCAAGGAGAAGGAACAUCAGGACAGAAGCACAUGAUGGAGGAAAACUGCCCACCAAAGGGCAGCCAGGAAGCAAGAAAAAGGGGAUGGGCAGGAUACAGCUUUCAAGGCCAAUUAUCUGAGGACCUGCUUCCUUCAGCUAGGCCCCACCUCAAUAGCCUAAUAAAUUGUUAGCCACUGAAUGGGUUAGUCUGUUUGAAUGAGAUCCCUUGUGGACCCUAUCAUCUUCUGAAGACCCCAUCUCUGAAAUUUCAUUGAUGCCUUUGGGACCAAGCUUUUAACUAACACAUGAGC